CCGAGUUAUACAACUCAUCAACCCUGUGAACAUACCUAUAACGUUGCCUCGGCGGGAACAGACGGCCCCGUAACACGGGCCGCCCCCGCCAGAGGACCCCCUAACUCUGUUUCUAUAAUGUUUCUUCUGAGUAAACAAGCAAAUAGAUUA
rnacentral:misc_RNA from 1 species